rnacentral:rRNA from 1 species
UACGGAGGGGGCUAGCGUUGUUCGGAUUUACUGGGCGUAAAGCGCACGUAGGCGGAUUGUUAAGUCGGGGGUGAAAUCCUGGAGCUCAACUCCAGAAUUGCCUUCGAUACUGGCUUUCUAGAGGCUGGAAGAGGUUAGUGGAAUUCCCAGUGUAGAGGUGAAAUUCGUAGAUAUUGGGAAGAACACCAGUGGCGAAGGCGGCUAACUGGUCCAGAUCUGACGCUGAGGUGCGAAAGCGUGGGGAGCAAACAGG